rnacentral:rRNA from 1 species
GUGAGGAAUUUUCCGCAAUGGGCGAAAGCCUGACGGAGCAAUGCCGCGUGAAGGAUGAAGGCCUAUGGGUUGUAAACUUCUUUUCUCAGAAAAGAAUUAUGACGGUAUCUGAGGAAUAAGCAUCGGCUAACUCUGUGCCAGCAGCCGCGGUAAGACAGAGGAUGCAAGCGUUAUCCGGAAUGAUUGGGCGUAAAGCGUCUGUAGGUUGUUUAAAAAGUAUUCUGUCAAAGAUUAGGGCUUAACCCUAGAUAGGCAGAAUAAACUUUUAAGCUAGAGUUUGGUAGAGGCAGAGGGAAUUCCCGGUGGAGCGGUGAAAUGCGUAGAGAUCGGGAGGAACACCAAAGGCGAAGGCACUCUGCUGGGCCAAUACUAACACUGAGAGACGAAAGCGAGGGGAGCAAAUGGGAUUAGAAACCCCAGUAGUCC